rnacentral:rRNA from 1 species
GGGGAAUAUUGCACAAUGGGGGAAACCCUGAUGCAGCAACGCCGCGUGAAGGAUGACGGUUUUCGGAUUGUAAACUUCUUUUCUUAGUGACGAAGACAGUGACGGUAGCUAAGGAAUAAGCAUCGGCUAACUACGUGCCAGCAGCCGCGGUAAUACGUAGGAUGCAAGCGUUAUCCGGAUUUACUGGGUGUAAAGGGAGCGCAGGCGGGACUGCAAGUUGGAUGUGAAAUACCGUGGCUUAACCACGGAACUGCAUCCAAAACUGUAGUUCUUGAGUGAAGUAGAGGCAAGCGGAAUUCCGAGUGUAGCGGUGAAAUGCGUAGAUAUUCGGAGGAACACCAGUGGCGAAGGCGGCUUGCUGGGCUUUAACUGACGCUGAGGCUCGAAAGUGUGGGGAGCAAACAGGAUUAGAUACCCUGGUAGUCCACACUGUAAACGAUGAUAGCUAGGUGUGGGGGGUCUGACCCCUUCCGUGCCGGAGUUAACGCAAUAAGCUAUCCACCUGGGGAGUACGACCGCAAGGUUGAAACUCAAAGGAAUUGACGGGGGCCCGCACAAGCAGUGGAGUAUGUGGUUUAAUUCGAAGCAACGCGAAGAACCUUACCAGGUCUUGACAUCCAACUAACGAAGUAGAGAUACAUUAGGUGCCCUUCGGGGAAAGUUGAGACAGGUGGUGCAUGGUUGUCGUCAGCUCGUGUCGUGAGAUGUUGGGUUAAGUCCCGCAACGAGCGCAACCCUUGCUAUUAGUUGCUACGCAAGAGCACUCUAAUAGGACUGCCGUUGACAAAACGGAGGAAGGUGGGGACGACGUCAAAUCAUCAUGCCCCUUAUGACCUGGGCUACACACGUACUACAAUGGAUGUUAACAGAGGGAAGCAAGACAGCGAUGUGGAGCAAACCCCUAAAAACAUUCUCAGUUCAGAUUGCAGGCUGCAACCCGCCUGCAUGAAGAUGGAAUUGCUAGUAAUCGCGGAUCAGCAUGCCGCGGUGAAUACGUUCCCG